rnacentral:sRNA from 1 species
GCUGCCGCUCACGAUGGCAGGUGAGCCAUA